GCGGCCGCCGUGCCAUUCUUAAAGGCGCCCGAGUGAAGGCGACAGGCCGCUGACGGCCGGAAGGAAAAUGAGUGAGUCUUUGGUUGUUUGUGAUGUUGCCGAAGAUUUAGUGGAAAAGCUGAGAAAGUUUCGUUUUCGCAAAGAAACGAACAACGCUGCUAUUAUAAGUAAGCUAAAAGUGAUUGCCUCAAAGUUACAUGGUCUUAAUUUGUUUUUAAUCUUGUAGCUACAUUGAAUGAACUGAACCCUUGGAAAGCAAUGUUACUUCCUCUGUUUCAUUUCCCCACCACCACCUUUAGAUCACUUUAAAAAAUAAGUAACAGCUAAUUCUAAUGUCACAGAACAGAGGUGGAUUGUCCCACCUCCCCCAUAGUCCUUUUAUCAGCUGCCUGUACAGCUCUGGAAAAGGCGAUCGUCUUGGUCCUUGGGUAAUGAGGAUUCUCAUCUGCAGUGACCCAUCCAACCCAUCCUUCUUGGAGGACUAAAAAUAGCCUGGCCAUUCAUUCUCAGACAGAAACCUUUGCCUACACCUAAAAUGACAAAGUUCAGCAUUGUGUGCAUAGUGACUUUGGGCAUUAUUCCAGUUGUAGAUUUGAACUCUGGUUUCAGGAAGAGUACUUUUAACUGGCACUGGCACUGACUUCUGAAAAUGGAAAAAGUGAUUUGCAUAUUGCUUCUCCCACUGUGAGCUAUAUCUGACAUGCAGA
rnacentral:sRNA from 1 species